ACACGACAGUCGUCACGAAUUUGCUGUGAAUCCACCUAUGCGGAUGGGCGUGAAGCCACAAUAUCUCUGAUGAGACAGUAAACGAGAACGCGGACUUUAUGGCUUAGAAGUUCACCGGGAGGCACCCGGCACAGCAACCAUCACAGAAAACCUCGCUCCGGCGGGGUUUUUUAU
rnacentral:sRNA from 1 species